rnacentral:antisense_RNA from 1 species
UCCAUGGCAACAAGAUGACACAAAUGCAGCAGAGACCCCAGGGGACAGGAGCCUCUUGCAGUCUGUCCCUAGGCCCAGCCCUGCUUGUCCUCCCUGGCUGUUAUCUUCAGUACUGCAAAGAGAACACAGACAUAUCUGGCUUGGUGACCUGGCUGUCCUGGAAAAGUCAGCUUCAUCAAAUUCUUUAGAAAAGGAAAAUACAGGGAAAGGGAUAAACCUCACUGACUUGGAGGAAAUCAAGAGGAGUGAGCACAGCAUCAGAAAGCCCCCUGGCCCCAGACUGCACCCGCUUUCCUGGCCCUACCUUGAAAUCCAUCAGGUCUGCGUUGGACACGGCAUUGUACAUGGGAUUAGCUCUGGUCUGACCUAGGAGCUGGAAUGCCAGUAAAAGGAGGAAGCUCACGGUGGUGGUGGAGAAGGAGCUCAUGCUGGCGUCGUCAAGGAGCAAUCCACUGCUUGCUGCUCU